UUUCAAACUGCCCAGACGGUUGGACAGGACGUAGACACACAGAAGAAAAGAAGGCAAAGAACGGGUAGGAAAAUUAAAAAGGUGACCAUGGGGAAGAAAGUGGCCAUCAUUGGAGCUGGUGUGAGUGGCUUGGCCUCCAUCAGGAGCUGUCUGGAAGAGGGGCUGGAGCCCACCUGCUUUGAGAAGAGCAAUGACAUUGGGGGCCUGUGGAAAUUUUCAACAGAGUUUCUCUCUUGUUGCCCAGGCUGGAGUGCAAUGGCACAAUCUCAGCUCACUACAACCUCCACCUCCUGGGAUCAAGGGAUUCUCCUGCCUCAGCCUCCCGAGUAGUUGGGAUUACAGGUGUGUGCCAUCACGCCCCGCUAAUUUUUGUGUUUUUAGUAGAGAUGGGGUUUCGCCAUGUUGGCCAGGCUGGUCUCGAACUCCUGACCUCAGGUGAUACACCCGCCUCGGCCUCCCAAAGUGCUGGAAUUAUAGGCAUGAGCCACCACUCCUGGCCAGCCAUAUCUUAUACACAGUGAUCUUAACCAAAGCCUCAUACUCAAAUUUAGUUUGCAAGACGUUGCUGAAGAUAGAACGCACUGCUGAUAUGGCUAUUGAGAGGAACACAGCGAAAGACAGCUAAUUUGUCUUUUCUUGCUGCUCGAGGAAGGCUUUAAAAUUUGAACCUGGCAGCAUAGGUUGAUAAAACUGAACUGCAACAUGUGCUACCCUUCAAGAAAAAGAAAGGAUAGCCCAGAGGGUAGAGCCUCAGGCCCUGAGGGCAGAGGCCCGAGCCAAAGCCUUCAAGCCUAAAGGAAUUUGUCCUACUGGAUUUCAAAAUUGCUU
rnacentral:sRNA from 1 species